rnacentral:tRNA from 4 species
GGCUGGGUAGCUCAGCUGGUUAGAGCGCACGACUCAUAAUCGUGAGGUCGGGAGUUCAAGUCUCCCCCCCGCCACCA